AGUGGCGGACGGGUGAGUAACGCGUGGGUAACCUGCCUCAUACAGGGGGAUAACAGUUAGAAAUGACUGCUAAUACCGCAUAAGACCACAGCACCGCAUGGUGCAGGGGUAAAAACUCCGGUGGUAUGAGAUGGACCCGCGUCUGAUUAGCUUGUUGGUGAGGUAACGGCCCACCAAGGCGACGAUCAGUAGCCGGCCUGAGAGGGUGACCGGCCACAUUGGGACUGAGACACGGCCCAAACUCCUACGGGAGGCAGCAGUGGGGAAUAUUGCACAAUGGGGGAAACCCUGAUGCAGCGACGCCGCGUGAAGGAAGAAGUAUCUCGGUAUGUAAACUUCUAUCAGCAGGGAAGAUAAUGACGGUACCUGACUAAGAAGCCCCGGCUAACUACGUGCCAGCAGCCGCGGUAAUACGUAGGGGGCAAGCGUUAUCCGGAUUUACUGGGUGUAAAGGGAGCGUAGGCGGCGGAGCAAGUCAGAAGUGAAAGCCCGGGGCUCAACCCCGGGACGGCUUUUGAAACUGCCCUGCUUGAUUUCAGGAGAGGUAAGCGGAAUUCCUAGUGUAGCGGUGAAAUGCGUAGAUAUUAGGAGGAACACCAGUGGCGAAGGCGGCUUACUGGACUGACAAUGACGCUGAGGCUCGAAAGCGUGGGGAGCAAACAGGAUUAGAUACCCUGGUAGUCCACGCCGUANACGAUGAAUACUUGGUGUCGGGGC
rnacentral:rRNA from 1 species